GCUUGCACUUACGUGUAAGCACUGGGAGUUCUUGGGUACAGGGUGGCCCUGAGAACAUCUGUCUCUGAAGAACUGGCUUUGGAGAUUGGACUUGUAUAGCCCCUGCCUUCAGCCUUUGAGAUGCCCUUCAUCCUCCCAUGUGGACACCAGCUGCCAGAAGUCACUUACUUCACAUGUCAGCACACACAGGAAUGGCAACAACAUUAUCUUAUUGCUGCUUUGAAGAGAGAAACCAUAACCCUGGCUGGCACCAAAACAGCGAUGAACCGAAAAUCACACAGAUCAGACUUUUUGCUGACAAUAAUUACCAAACAUCUGACCUCAAAAACUGCAUGUGAUUUCCACCUUGCAAUUUCAUCACCCUGCUUAAC